ACCAAUUGAUAGCCUCAAGUUCAAUUUUUUUUUAUUACAUGGACCCACCUGUCAUCAUCUUCCUGGAGACCAUCUCCUAUACGAGAGUUCAUCCUGUAACUAAUCAAUCCCGGCAAGACAUCUUGAUUCGGCCGAUUUCGUUGCCCCUACUUCACGAAAACCCCUCUAUAUAAUCCCCCGCAGCAACCUCUCUCGGUUUUUCGAAAAAGCACAAACUCUAAACCACCCGAGAGCUCAAACCGAUCUCGCCGGAGUUCCGCCGUCGCGAACUCGAAGACGAGAACCACGAGAACACGCAGGCGAGACCACCGAACUUCGGCCGGACUUCGCAGCUUCCAGCUGGGAAUAGCAGCCGCUCAGGACCAAGCCGACGGACGCCGUUGACGCCCUUGACACUGUGAGGUAGAGGGGGAACCCGUCAACCACUUCGUCAAGCCGGAGGAGCACCAGAAUACCGUCUCCGUCCGCACCCGAGUUUGGCGCCACCGUCUCCUUCCUCGUCGCUGAUCACGCGCGGGUGCUAUUUAUUCGGAGUGCGAGAGAAAGUUCACAAGGAAGAAAUCAUCAUGAAAUUAUACUAAGGCAAGU